GUAGUACUGAGUGACAGCAGCCAAGAGGGGAGUGGGACCAGGGUGAGAGGCAGCGUGCGUCUGGGGAGGCUGAAAUGGAGGAGCUGAUGGCACCUGCACAGAAGCCCUCGGUGGAGACUUUGCCAGCUGUCCUCAUGCAUGGGACAAUCUGGGCUGAACAAGAGACAGACCACAUAGGAGAGGCAUAAAAGAUUCUGACACACCUCCUAAAACUGCACAGGAAAGAGUACAUCCAAGCAGCAAUUCACCUGCUGCUCCUUUGUUUUCCUGGUGCAGAUGGAACAGCGUGGGAAGGAUUGCUGCUCCCACAGCAGACAGUGAGACACUGAAGUCAUUUCCACUCAUGCCUGUGCAUCCAAGUACGCGCUGGAGCUGUGGCACAACUCUUCUGGAGAAAACACACACAACAGGCAGUCAUCUGUAAGCUCCAAGUGCUGGCAGGAGCCGACCUUCGAGAGGAGCAGACUAUCUGGGACCUGGAUGCAGCCCAUCUUCACUACAAAGGACUGUUAUGAGUUAUUGUUUAACCUGGAGUUAAAGAAGUGCAUCCAUCUCCUUGUCAUCUUCAAUUUGCAGGAAAGUCCCUCUGAUACUUGGUCCUAACUUGCAUCAGUGAUGCAAAGUGUCAUAAAUAUUUCAACAAGUUUGGCUACCUGCAGCAUUCUCAGCAGCCUAGAAAGCUUCAAACAGUCCUAAAGUUUUUUUCAAAGUAAUACUUAAUUAUUCGUAUGCAACACAAAUGAAUGCAAUAUUAGUGAUUAGGAAGAAUUUAAACAUUUAGGAACACAAUGUGAAUGCAUUAUUAACAUGUGUAAAACAUUUUGUCCUUUCCUAUCUUGUUCAGAAGUAUGCUGAAUUGCUACCCUGAGGGGAAUGUGACGGCAUUAUUCAUCCCUGAUUUUAAAUACUAGACAAAAAUAUCUAAAAUUAAAAUACUGUUUGAGAUAUUAAUACAUGGCAUAAAACUGAAAUGAACAAAUGCAAAUCCUACAAGUCAGCAUCUGGCUCACGAGCAUGACCGUCAACCAGAGGCAAAAUAAAUCACAACUAUUACCCAACAACAGAUGGCUCUGGCUUGGGCCAAGAUUUGCACUUAGAUGGGAUGACAAUUUAAAUAGACGAUGCAGACCUGAAAGUGCUGGCAUAAUGACUGGAAAAAAUAUUGGCCUGGAAAGACAAUAUUUCAAAUGAGUCCCAAGCUUCAGCACUCUCAUUUUGCUUUUGAUCAUCACUACAGUUUGGUGUUAUUGAAGUCAGUUGAGAUGGACAGAUAGAUAAAUAUAGACAUGGAUACUAAAAAUCCAGCCACAAAUGUAUUACCUUUUUUAUUAAGUUGGGAUAUAGAAACACAUUUAUUCUUGGGGAUAAAGUCUGAAGUUAUUUGUUAAACAUCUGAUAACGAUCACAUUUAUCAAUCCUAGCCACCACAAAACAUUCAGAGCACUAGAUAAUUAGGAUGAAUCAACUGCAGUUAAUUACAAAAGUUAAAUUAAAGCUUUUAGAAAUUAGGUAGUGCUAUAGAAUGAACGUUCUCAUUGAACGUUUGUUCUUCCCUAGCUACUUCAGUCUCUGCUGAUCUGCUCCUGGACACAGCAGCACAUGGAACCACAACAGAGAUUUUAAGGCUUCUUCCAUAAGAUCAAUGUCAAGACUCUCACAGGGAUUAAGGGUUGGAGACUCACGUAUCUGUAACCCCCACAGUCAGAUGGCAAUGGAAACCCUAUUCCACUGUGCUAGAAUAUUCCAAGGCUGGAAGUUCCAACAGUUUCAGCCUGAGUCAUAUGACAUGUGGCUUGUUUUUUAAAGCACCUACCACUAGAUGCAUGACAACCUGCAGGCAAUCAGCCUUCAAUAAAAAGAGACCUUUUCUAACUCUCUUAGAACAGAGUAAACAUCCCUGCAUAUCAUUUUCAUUAGAUGCAGAAAAAACAUGCUGCUCCAAAGUUGUUGUUCUUUUUUUUUUCCUAGCUGGCACUUGCCUUUCAUAUGGUAAGAACUGGCAGUUCUGACAAUUUGGGUUUUGCAGCAUGUGGUCCCUCAGCAACACUUCACCCAGGAACAACUCUUCCCUUGGGACCAGUGUGCCACAUAGCUAUGGACACCAAUGGAGCUCCUCCACCUCACAGCAUGGCUGUGAUGUAAGAAAACAGUAUCAGUGCCAUGGGAAAUGUUUAGAGGAGAGGUACACACAUUUGCAGAAUAUCCGAGUGACAUGGGACACAAAGGAACACUCCAGGCUCAGCAGGAGCUGUCUUUUCUCCUACCCUGAUCUUACAUUUCUCUCAAAUUGACUUCUUGAGAUUUUUCUUACCUUCUUAGCUGAUCUGCUUAAGAAUGGAUAAGUAUUAUUCAAUACCCCUACGUACCUGAGAAGAAUGAACAUGAGUUGAUCCAAGCGUGCUUUGUUACAGUGUGGAAGCUGCAGGCCCUAUCGCUGCAUCUCUUCUCACAAAGACUGAUCCAAGAUGUUGGGAUGAGCCCAGCCCUACAUCAGAGGCUCAUCUCUGACAAACUAAGGACAAUGUUUUCAAAAACAAGGGACAUUUGUUACUUUACGGGAACAAAAGCUCCACAGAGACUGGAUUAAAAUACCAAAGGAAAAUCUUAGAGUGCAGCUCUUGCCAUCUGCCCCGAUGAGGAGAUUUGAUCUUUACUAUUGCCUUGGAAUCAAGCAACGUGCUAGAACACUGCAGCUAACAAAGACACAGGCAAAGCAAAGAGGGCAAGCAGAGCCAGGCACCUCAGCAUGCCAGCUCUGUCGAGGCAGCUUUAGAAAUUUUCUUGUAAUAAACAAAUACUGUAACUGGGCACUUUGUUCAUCCGUUUAUGACUAACAGGUCUCCUGGGGAAUCAUGCCUUGACCUCUUCCAGCUCAAAUCUUCACAACUGUGAUUCUUGGAGCCUGUUACAACUUCUGCCCAUGACGGCUGAGGAACUUCCCACAUCCAGCUUUCAUGCUGGCACCUCCCCAAAGCUGCUGGAGGCACUGUUUUUAUUUAAUUGUGCUACCCCUGGUAGUGUCCAGCAAGUCCUGACAGCUAAAAGCUUAUCUAUCAACUACCCAACCAUGCCUAACAACCUCAGGAUGAAGGGGAUACAAAGCAAAUAUACAAAAGUUGUGCACAAAAUCUACGCACCAUCUUUUAAAGUUAGCUUUUCUGAACAUCUGCAGGAAUUUUAGAUCAAUGAGAAGAGACUGGAACUUCUUUAGAGCUAUGCUUUUGGCAUGUGAAACUAAAGUGUACUUCCAGAGUCCCAAAAAGUUGCAUCAACUCCAGAGGCUGCCCUGGGAAAAUCAUUGAGAAGAUAAGCUUUUUAAAACCCAGAGCUGACAGGAGGGCUACUGGGAGGCCCAAUGAGCCAGCUUUUUUCUUCUACCACAGAGUUCACACCUUCUGAUAAUUUCAGAGUAACUGUUUUGGGCUGCCUGACUGCUGCCAGAGACAUGACAUUUCCAUUCCGAUCUCCUAAGCAGGCCAAGGAACCUGAGCUGCAUUAUGGCCUUUGGAUGGAACCUGGUUCUCAAUACAGUGGCACCUGAACCUCAGUUGCUCUUCGGCACACUACUCUGGACGCAAAAGGAAGCUAUUCCCCAGGGAAGAGAUCUUACUGCAGCAUACCCACGGCCUAAAGGCUUACCCUCAUUUUCCAUAGCAGCUCCUAACACUGCCAAGCACACAACAAGGACCACGGUGUAAAUGAGAAUCACGUCUUGGCAUAUCUGUUUCUGGUUUCCUCUGUCAGUACGAAGAAUAACUGCAAAGGACGUGUAUGGCAGUUUACAAAUUUGUACAGGAAACGGCUGUAUAAUGCCACCAUUGUUGGGUUGGGUGAUGGCAACCAGAUGGUGUCCUGAGGAUGGAUUCACCGAUUCACCAAUGGCCAUUUGAAAAUGCCACUGGUUCUGCAAUAUUGCUUGUGCUACCAGAGGACAUGAAAACAGGGCAGUCAUUGUAGAACGGAGGGUGUUUCCAAAGCUACUUCUGUCCUACCAGUGCAGUGUGACCCUUGCAUGAGAAAAGUAAGGGGAUGGGUUUAAGAGAAGGGAAUGAAAGAGGAAAACUGCUAAAGGCUCUAUAUGAACUGAUUCUCAGCCACAGCAUUUACCCAUUAUAUCACAAACUGCAAAAGCUGCACUGUUUUCAGAGUAGGAGCAUUGCUUGCUAUUAUUAUUAUUUCAACACUAGGCUUUAUAAGACCAAGUGCAUUCGCCCACCCCAUCAAGGAUCCUCGCAGCAAAUACAUGACAAGCAAAGAUGUGAAUGGAAGUGAGCAGAAGAUGGGCCAACUACUGUAAGGAAGCUGCAGGAAAUCUGCACUAAGAAUUCACAAGGUCUGAGCCUCUUUGCACAAUCUCUUGACAAUUCACCUUGAAAGGCCAUUUUCAGAGCAGUAGCUCUGAAGUUUUCAGUUUAAUUAUAACAAUUUAGCUUAAUUUGAUCAAGUGUCAGUUCAGUACAUACCGAAUGAUAUUGGCUCCACAUAUUAUCUGUUUGAUUUUGCUGCAUGUUAACGAAGAGUUCGUAACUGAAAAUUCAGCCCCCACCUCCCAGUCACAAAAUUCUAUUACUAUUUCUAAGUUUCAACGCUAUUUUGAGACUGGGGAGAAGGGAAACUGUCCCAUAACAGAAAAGCUCUCAGAAGGAGCGAGAAAGAACUGCUUUUUCUGCUUUUAUUUUGGCCAGAAGUGUUCCUAUUCACACCAAUGCUGUUCCAAACCUAGUGUUUCUAUGCACAGGUGGUUUUUACAGCCAAUACAUUGCACACAGCAAUGAAGUGAUGAGAUAUGCUUUUUAUUUAAGCGUUUUAACAGAAAUAACUCAAUCCCACAGUCCAUAAAAAGUCCUGUAGUGUAAGAUUACACUUUUUCUGACGUUCCCAGUCUAACUUUUAUAAAUAACACCUAACUGUGCUCCUUCUGGACAUUAUCGCUGUAGAAGAUAGAAUGGCCAUCCAGCUCAGUUCCCACAUGAGAAACUCUUUAAUGGAGAGGUCCUCACUGCCUUUUAUUAUCAACUGUGCUACUGCCAGAUGUGAUAUGGCCUGGGCUGCAAAACUAAACCAACUGGGAAGCAUCUCAGUGUGAACCAGAGCCUUGUGAAAAUCCCAGAGACCUCAGAGGAAUGGAAAAUUCACCCUACCACAAAGCUCUUUUUUGAGGAGUUUCUUCCACUCUCUUCCAACAGCAGCACUGCUGCAGGUCGAUGAAGGGCAGUGCUAAGCAUGUGCACAGUCUAAAGGAGAACCAGGGGCCAAGGACGUCUUCUGGAUUAAGAACUAAAAAAAUUAUUGAGACUAACAAGGAUAUGGAAACCUACUAUGAGUCCUCUCUACAAAGACAGCAAACAUCACUAGUGCAGGAACUACUACUUCAUUUUGUCCCUUCACCUGUUGCAUUAAAUUUAUGCUAUGUUACUUUAAAGACCGUAAGGAACCUAAAAAGCAGAUGUCAAAUUAA